rnacentral:lncRNA from 1 species
UGAUCUGAGUUGAUCUACAGGAUGAAGUCGGUGUGUGUUUUGGGGUGUCUUCUUCUUGUUUUGGGAGCUGUUUCCUCCCAACUGAAUGUUGCACCGGUGUUUAAAGAACGCUACUGCUUGUGCGUUAUCCGCUGCUGCCACUUCUCUGAAUCUUCGCUCUUCAAACGAAGUUUGACCCAAGCUUUCUCAGACAUGGCCCACGUUCGACACAAACGAUGCUGCGGCUGCACCAAUUGCUAUCACAAUUCUUAAUUUGAUUUGUGGAUGUGUUUGGUUGUAUUGUUGUUUGGUGUAGCGAACGUACAUACAGUUGUGUUCGAAUGUGAUGAAGGCAUGUGUACAACAUUAUAAGCUUAUCAAGCGUUAAACCGCAUCAUCAUAAGAUGUGAAAAAGUAAUAUGCCUUGCUAAUGGCAAGGUUCGCUAUAAACGAAAUAAUGUCGAGAUUCUUGUUGCAGGAAAUAAUUGCGAAAUUCGACUGAAAGGAUUAAAUGUAGAAAUUUGUUUUAAGCCAAAUAAAUUCCAGAUUCGUUUUAGACGAAAUUACGAGAUCCAAUAAAA